rnacentral:rRNA from 1 species
CGUAGGUGGCAAGCGUUGUCCGGAUUUAUUGGGUUUAAAGGGUGCGUAGGCGGUCCUAUAAGUCAGUGCUGAAAUAUCCCGGCUUAACCGGGAGGGUGGCAUUGAUACUGUGGGACUUGAGUAAAGUUGGGGUUGGCGGAAUUGACGGUGUAGCGGUGAAAUGCUUAGAUAUCGUCAAGAACACCUAUUGCGAAGGCAGCUAACUAAGCUUUAACUGACGCUGAGGCACGAAAGUGUGGGGAUCAAACAGGAUUAGAUACCCUGGUAGUCCACACUGUAAACGUUGAUUACUCGCUGUUGGCGAUACACAGCCGGCGGCUUAGCGCAAGCGAUAAGUAAUCCACCUGGGGAGUACGCCGGCAACGGUG